UCUCGAUAACGUUAAAGUUAACUCAAAUCUGUAUGCAGUUGGAACGUUUGCCUAUAUUUACCGCUAGGGGCGCUGUUCCAACUGCAUCCAAGCUUGAGUUAACUUUUACGCUAUUGA
rnacentral:pre_miRNA from 9 species